AUGCAGGAAAGCAGGGUUAUUUUGCAAAAACGCCAGAGAACAAAACAGUUGACCCCACCUGGUUGGACCGCCUCUUCGGUGCCGCCUCUUCUCUGCCAUGAGGGCUCUCAUCCUAGCCCCUGCAUCGGUUCUCGUGGUUGCGUCUUCUUCCGCGGCCGCGGAAGCAGUGGCAUCGCUCUUGCCGCUACUCCCGUGCAAGCGGUGAAGAAGCUCCUGAAGAAGCUCAACAGCCCGCGCAUCACACCCAUCAAGCACGAGAACGACCGCCAGGUGUCGGCCAUCGACGCCGUCCUCGACCGUGUCAUCACCUUCCGCUUCCUUUCCUGCAUGCGGUCCUUCAUGGCCUCCCUUCCGCCCCCGCAGCACAUCGCCCUUCUCGAGGCCGACAAGCUACACCAUGAGCUUGGCUUCCCUCGCGGACGCAUCGUCUCACGCAUCGCCGCCCGCCACCUGCUGCUCUUCCAUUGCGCCACUGUGGGCUCCGUACUGCACCUCGCGUUCACGCUGCUCAUGUGCUGCUCCUCGAGGAGGAGCGCCACGUCCACAAGGAGCUCCCUCCCCACGUGGGUGCUGGCCGUCCGGAAGCUCCUCAUGCUCACCGCCCACUACCGCGUGCCCCUCACGAAGCUCCAACACUGUCGCGCGGUGCUCGGCCUCCCCGAUGACUUCCGGGACCGCAUCCGUGACUUCCUCGAUGACUUCCGCGUUGCCCUGGACCCCAACAGGCUCCACGUCCUCGAGCUGGCGCACUGGGACCCCGCACUCGCCGUGAGCACCCUGGAGCACGACUUCAUGGUGGACGAGCGCCGUGUACGAUGCAUGUUCUGCUUCUCCAUCCCGCACCGCCGGUCAAUGCCACUAGACGAGGAACAGGCGGAGCGCCUGGAUGCGACGACCACGUUCCCGCUGGCCUCACCGUACACCAGUUGCGCGCUGCUCCCCGACCUCCCUCUAGAACGCUCGUGCAUCGUCGGGUCGCUGUUGCACGCAUAA
rnacentral:rRNA from 1 species